rnacentral:miRNA from 1 species
UAUUGUGUUUGUCAGUGCGGUAUA